rnacentral:ncRNA from 3 species
ACUGAUGUAUUCAACAAGUUCAAGCCUUGGCCAACAGGCCCGGGUAAUCUUUGAAAUUUCAUCGUGAUGGGGAUAGAUCAUUGCAAUUGUUGGUCUUCAAC